AUCAUCACUAUCACCAUAAUCCAAGGACUGUGGAGAGGAUACCUGAAAGAUAAAUAUCUAGAGUUAAAAAAGAAAAGUUGCACUUACCUCAUCAAUGUGAACUGUUUUGCUGUCUCGUCGGACAUUAAGGUUGCUUGGCGGACUGU
ensembl:ncRNA C04G6.14 ncRNA